AGAGUUUGAUCAUGGCUCAGAUUGAACGCUGGCGGCAGGCCUAACACAUGCAAGUCGAGCGGUAGCACAGAGAGCUUGCUCUCGGGUGACGAGCGGCGGACGGGUGAGUAAUGUCUGGGAAACUGCCUGAUGGAGGGGGAUAACUACUGGAAACGGUAGCUAAUACCGCAUAACGUCGCAAGACCAAAGUGGGGGACCUUCAGGCCUCAUGCCAUCAGAUGUGCCCAGAUGGGAUUAGCUAGUAGGUGGGGUAACGGCUCACCUAGGCGACGAUCCCUAGCUGGUCUGAGAGGAUGACCAGCCACACUGGAACUGAGACACGGUCCAGACUCCUACGGGAGGCAGCAGUGGGGAAUAUUGCACAAUGGGCGCAAGCCUGAUGCAGCCAUGCCGCGUGUAUGAAGAAGGCCUUCGGGUUGUAAAGUACUUUCAGCGGGGAGGAAGGCGAUAAGGUUAAUAACCUUGUCGAUUGACGUUACCCGCAGAAGAAGCACCGGCUAACUCCGUGCCAGCAGCCGCGGUAAUACGGAGGGUGCAAGCGUUAAUCGGAAUUACUGGGCGUAAAGCGCACGCAGGCGGUCUGUCAAGUCGGAUGUGAAAUCCCCGGGCUCAACCUGGGAACUGCAUUCGAAACUGGCAGGCUAGAGUCUUGUAGAGGGGGGUAGAAUUCCAGGUGUAGCGGUGAAAUGCGUAGAGAUCUGGAGGAAUACCGGUGGCGAAGGCGGCCCCCUGGACAAAGACUGACGCUCAGGUGCGAAAGCGUGGGGAGCAAACAGGAUUAGAUACCCUGGUAGUCCACGCCGUAAACGAUGUCGAUUUGGAGGUUGUGCCCUUGAGGCGUGGCUUCCGGAGCUAACGCGUUAAAUCGACCGCCUGGGGAGUACGGCCGCAAGGUUAAAACUCAAAUGAAUUGACGGGGGCCCGCACAAGCGGUGGAGCAUGUGGUUUAAUUCGAUGCAACGCGAAGAACCUUACCUGGUCUUGACAUCCACAGAACUUNNNNNNNNNNNNNNNNNNNNNNNNNNGUCGUAGUCCGGAUUGGAGUCUGCAACUCGACUCCAUGAAGUCGGAAUCGCUAGUAAUCGUAGAUCAGAAUGCUACGGUGAAUACGUUCCCGGGCCUUGUACACACCGCCCGUCACACCAUGGGAGUGGGUUGCAAAAGAAGUAGGUAGCUUAACCUUCGGGAGGGCGCUUACCACUUUGUGAUUCAUGACUGGGGUGAAGUCGUAACAAGGUAACCGUAGGGGAACCUGCGGUUGGAUCACCU
rnacentral:rRNA from 1 species